rnacentral:misc_RNA from 1 species
CACUUAGUCCUAAGGAGAGCUACAUUAAUUUCUGAUGAACUGUUUGAGGAGCUGUAUUUGACUAUGAUUUAUAUACGGGGGGAUCUCCUCUAGAACAUAGUGAUAAGCUCUGUUUUUGUAAUGUAUAUCAAUUGUUGUUACCAGUUUACCUCUGUGAAACAUGCAGGCAUCAUACGGAAGACCAGAACAGUUAUGGAAUGUUUGCAUCGAUUUUGCAGAGAAUGCAUUGACAAGUCUAUGCGAAUGGGGAACAAUGAGUGUCCUGCUUGUCGUACCCACUGUGCUAGUCGCCGUUCUCUGAGAGAUGAUCCGAACUAUGAUGCUCUAAUUGCAUUUCUAUAUCCAGA